UGCUAUCACUUAUAGAUGGACCUGCGCCGUAUUAGCUAGUUGGUAAGGUAACGGCUUACCAAGGCAACGAUACGUAGCCGACCUGAGAGGGUGAUCGGCCACACUGGAACUGAGACACGGUCAAGACUAAUACGGGAGGCAGCAGUAGGGAAUCUUCCGCAAUGGGCGAAAGCCUGACGGAGCAACGCCGCGUGAGUGAUGAAGGUCUUCGGAUCGUAAAACUCUGUUAUUAGGGAAGAACAAACGUGUAAGUAACUGUGCACGUCUUGACGGUACCUAAUCAGAAAGCCACGGCUAACUACGUGCCAGCAGCCGCGGUAAUACGUAGGUGGCAAGCGUUAUCCGGAAUUAUUGGGCGUAAAGCGCGCGUAGGCGGUUUUUUAAGUCUGAUGUGAAAGCCCACGGCUCAACCGUGGAGGGCAUUGGAAACUGGAAAACUUGAGUGCAGAAGAGGAAAGUGGAUUCCAUGUGUAGCGGUGAAAUGCGCAGAGAUAUGGAGGAACACCAGUGGCGAAGCGACUUUCUGGUCUGUACUGACGCUGAUGUGCG
rnacentral:rRNA from 1 species